rnacentral:rRNA from 1 species
UUUAUGGAGAGUUUGAUCCUGGCUCAGGAUGAACGCUGGCGGCGUGCCUAAUACAUGCAAGUCGAGCGAACAGAUAAGGAGCUUGCUCCUUUGACGUUAGCGGCGGACG